AGCGAACGCUGGCGGCAGGCCUAACACAUGCAAGUCGAACGAACCCUUCGGGGUUAGUGGCGGACGGGUGAGUAACACGCGGGAACGUGCCCUUUGGUUCGGAAUAACUCGGGGAAACCCGAGCUAAUACCGAAUGAGCCCUACGGGGGAAAGAUUUAUCGCCGAAGGAGCGGCCCGCGUCUGAUUAGGUAGUUGGUGGGGUAAAGGCCCACCAAGCCUACGAUCAGUAGCUGGUCUGAGAGGAUGACCAGCCACAUUGGGACUGAGACACGGCCCAAACUCCUACGGGAGGCAGCAGUGGGGAAUCUUGCGCAAUGGGCGAAAGCCUGACGCAGCCAUGCCGCGUGAAUGAUGAAGGUCUUAGGAUUGUAAAAUUCUUUCACCGGGGACGAUAAUGACGGUACCCGGAGAAGAAGCCCCGGCUAACUUCGUGCCAGCAGCCGCGGUAAUACGAAGGGGGCUAGCGUUGCUCGGAAUUACUGGGCGUAAAGGGCGCGUAGGCGGACAGUUUAGUCAGGGGUGAAAUCCCAGGGCUCAACCC
rnacentral:rRNA from 1 species